GAUGAACGCUGGCGGCGUGCUUAACACAUGCAAGUCGAACGGUGAAGGCGGAGCUUGCUCUGCUGGAUCAGUGGCGAACGGGUGAGUAACACGUGAGCAAUCUGCCCCUGACUCUGGGAUAAGCGCUGGAAACGGCGUCUAAUACUGGAUACGAGCUGCGAAGGCAUCUUCAGCAGCUGGAAAGAAUUUCGGUCAGGGAUGAGCUCGCGGCCUAUCAGCUUGUUGGUGAGGUAAUGGCUCACCAAGGCGUCGACGGGUAGCCGGCCUGAGAGGGUGACCGGCCACACUGGGACUGAGACACGGCCAAGACUCCUACGGGAGGCAGCAGUGGGGAAUAUUGCACAAUGGGCGAAAGCCUGAUGCAGCAACGCCGCGUGAGGGACGACGGCCUUCGGGUUGUAAACCGCUUUUAGCAGGGAAGAAGCGAAAGUGACGGUACCUGCAGAAAAAGCGCCGGCUAACUACGUG
rnacentral:rRNA from 1 species